rnacentral:lncRNA from 1 species
GAGAGAGAGCAUGUGGGGCUUUGCCAGAGAGGAACUUGGAUGGCAAUCACCUAAGAACUCCAAACUCAGUGCCAGGGCAGACUGGUGUCUAUUUUGCAAUGUCUUCCAGUAGUUGAUAACUUUCUACUUUUAAAAUAAUUGGAAGAAUGUAAGCUCUCAACUAGUCCACUAGUCCCGAAACAAUAGAUACCAGCUGGCAGAGAUAAUAGCUGUCUGGAAGAGAGAGAUACAUACCACAUCAAAAAACAACAAAAAAAGAAUAACACCAUUUUUUUCCUCCUCUAUCAUCCCAGGGAUGGCUCAAGUACUCAAAAGGCAGCACUAAAAUAAGGCUAUGUCUCUUCCUGAGAAUACUCUGGACUUCAUUCUCUGAUUAAAGAUCACAACUGCUUCUUCGUUGAGGAAAUCAUGUAUUUCAAAGCCACCAAUGAACAAGAAUGACAAUCCAUGAAUUACACAGUAAACAAAUACUAUAUGUAUGAGACCGAUUCACUGUCACAAACCUGGAGAAGAAAACCCUUUUGAGGUUUAAAGCUGAGAGGGAGAUAAAAACUUGGUUGUACUACUUCUGGGAAAUGCUGAAGUUAUCCACGUGAUUUUCCAGUCACUGAUUAUUUUAGCAAAGUAACACAAACAGAGGAGGAGCUCUGGACUCUAGCUUCUCAUUUCUAAAAGAACAGAUGUAAUGGGAUGUAUUGGUCCAGCACUGAUAACAGGUUAUCCUACAAUCAAGUAUACUCUUUCCAGAAAGCUGAGUUAGGUAUGCAACUGCCUUUCUAAGCCAUGACUACAUUGCUAAAUGAAUCAUUGAUUUGGAAAAUCUGAAGUGACCUUCAGCUUGUUCUCCAGCUCUUCCUCAACAGAAAAGAGAGGCAAAAUCAGCAAAAUAUUGGAAAGAGGUAGUUUUUCUAAAGGUAUUUGUGGCAGGUAGAAGAUUGGAGGCCACUCAGCUAUGUGUGUAAGUGUGUGCAGGGAGAAAUUAGGUUCUAUAUUCAGAAGUGACAUUCUUUGUAUUUUCAGUGUGGCUCUAAAAACAGAGCCUUUUUCUUAUAGUUCAGAGUCAGACACUGCCCUUGGCUUCUCAGCCAUUCUAGUAAACUAUUUGUUACUCAGAAAGCCUCAAAUUCUUCAUUGAAUUUAUUUGGACCAGUUUUUGUGCACUUACCUCGUUGGCAUGGUAAUAGUCUUUUGAAUAACCAAUACUGUGAACAAUUAUACAAUUAAAAAUUCUACUUCCAUUAUUAUUCUUAACUUCUCCCUUUAUAUUUUGUUACAGUUAUGAGGUAUGUUUUAUUAACUAUUCUAGACAUAGAUCUAGCCCUGCAUUUACUCAGCACUGCCUUGCUCCUUUUCAUGAGGGGUGAUCUAGUUAGACAUAUCAAUAUUCAAUGAAAUGUAUAGAUUACCCUGAUAAAAUGGCUCAAUGAAGUUCAUGUAAGGUCAAUGGAAGAUUGAGGCAUCAUAUGCACUGAGCCACUAAUUGGUCUCAUACUAGUAGGAUAUAGCUAUCCCCACCCCCUAUAUCUUGAGUCUCCUUCCUCUUAGGUGCUGAGCAUUUCCAAAGGCUUCUCUAGCUGAAGCAGGUAUAAGAAAAUGAAGUGACAUAAAGCAUCAACCCUUAGGUAUAAAUGAUUGGCAAGUCUCAACCUUGCUAAAACUGAGACUUUUCAAUUAGCUAUGCUUAAAAGUUUCUACUGAAUUACUGAAGCCAUAAUUAUGUAUGUAAUUCAAGUUUCCUUUGAGCUGACCUACAAUGAAAGAAGUUACCUAAAUGACCUCUUAGGUCCUUUUCUCUCUCCAGCAAUCAUGGAUACUUUACGAAUCUCAUAAGGAGUACAGCUCAUUUAUUAUUAACACCAUUUUAGAAUGAAGGAAGAAGAGGCUUAGAAAGGUUUAGUAGCAGAGAAGAGAGCAGCCUUCUGAUUUGUGGGUUCCACAUUCUGGAUGCAGAAAACUUUCAGUCAUUCUUAUCUAUUGUGAGGCUUGUACCAGUUUCUCCAUAAACUUACAAAACCAAACCAUUUUGACAAGCUUUGUUCCUGCCUCUGACUUCUUUCAGAUAGUGGCUAACCAUCUUCUCUUGAUGAGUCAUUUUUGCUCUUCCUCAUUCCCUUCUUGAUGUUCAAGUAGGUGAACGUGAUGACUAUAAAAGGCAAGCAAUUAAUAUCUGGGGUUAGGCAGAGCUCUGUAAGCCAAUCUCCAAGAAUGUGCAAGCUCCUUUGUCCUUAACUGUAACCUUGGCACAUGAAAAGCAACUUCCAUUCCGUUUUACCAACAUUUCGGUCAAAGAUCAAUUGCCAUUGUAAUUAUAUCAUAUAUCACAGGAUGGGGAAUCAGUGAGAGGGCAGGCCCUUUAAACUAAUACAUAUCAUUAGCAUUUAAAGAACAUGAAAAACAAAUUGAACAUUAGUCCUCAUGUAAGUCUUUUUUCUAGAGCAAAUAAUUUUCCAAAUUAAAAUGAAUAAAUUAAUGAAAUUGUCACAUGUCUGAGAAUAAACUAGGUUGGUAAUGCCGUCAAGCUCUUAGCAAAGUUUAGCUCAUUGUACUUCUCUGUCUGAUCAUUAUAACAUCUAAUCAAGGGGAGCUUAAAUACUUCAAUGAGCUCUCAAAAUAAAUUUGAUCUGAGCAGCUCAGGUCUCAUGGAUUCCUAGGGUUACUGACUGGGUGAAACAUGUUUUUGUUUUAAUCCCUGUCUCAGCUCAAAGAGGAUUAAUGCCCGUAAUUCUGCUAUCCCCAUUUAAUUGAGAAAUGAAAUUUGAAGAGGCACCUCCUGGAACACUCCACUUUGAAAUAUGACCCAUCCACUGUCUAUAUAAUAAAUCUUCCUCUGCUCUCACACACUUAUCCACAUCCUUCCUAUCCCAAAGAAGGAGGAAAGAAAGUUAUUGUGUGUGUGUGUGUGUGUGUGUGUGUGUGUGUGUUUCUGUGCAUCUAAUCCAAAACACACAAUGUUGUUGUUUUAUUUUUCAAUUUUGGAAUUAUCCUAAUAAAGGCAUUCUCUGGGAAGCUCAGACUGCAUCUCAAACCUUUCUCUGACACUAGCAUCCUCAUUGGAACAAAUAGCCCUUUCACUAAAAGCAAUACAGUUAUUGCAUUCAUGUUAUAUGAUGGUAAUUUUCACUUUUGCUUUCAAUACAACAUUAAAAGAAAAAUUGUCUAUAGGAAAGAAAGAGGCAAUAUACUAUAUCCUGGAACUAAUUCUUUGGCAUCUGUAAAAAAGGGGGCCAUAAUUCUGAAUAGAGGCUCCUGUCCUAAAACAGACCCAAUGCUAAGAUCUAAUAGAAAGGGCACAGAGAAGCAUAAGGAAACUUAAUGUCACUUUCACGUUUUUUGUACAAGUUGAUGUGAGGAUCUAAAGAGGCAAUUUCUGUAAAAUGCCUAGUAGAGGACCAGGCAUAUAGUAAGCCCUCAGCAAAUGCUGGCUGUUAUCAUUAUGUUUUAUAAAGAAUUUUUACAUCUUCCUCCUAAGCCCUGAGGCUUCAUAACGAAGCCUUAUAUAUGACUCUCAAUGGCUCAAUGUCUUUCCUAACCUAAUGUAGAAAGUGACAUACCAUUGCUUCCAACAUAACCUAUUGGUCACAUGGACCAACAUAAGACCAAUGUGGGAUGACCCUGUACAUAAGGGUAAGAAGCAGGCAUCACUUGGGGCCAUCUCAAAGGAAGGUGACCACAACUGCCUAAUGGCAGUUGAAUCCUUUAUCAAGCUACCCUCAGUAACACUUCAGCUUUCAAGGACCAGGUUUUUGUGACUAUUGUGAACAGGAUUUUAGUGAAUGAAGAUAUAUCCCAAAAUAACAUUUCACUUAAAAGUUGAAUAUCUGUUAUCAAUUUACAAAUGCUUUUAUGUUAUAUCUCACUUGAGCUUCAAAAUAACCUUUUAAGACAGACAAGAGUAGAAACUACUCCAGUGAUUUCAUAGAUAAGGAAACUGAAGAUCAGAGAGACUUAAUGAUUAACCUAAGAUUUAAACUAGAUAUCCUCCUAGCAUUCUCAUGGCACUUAUUCUGCUAGCGUAGGCUGCCUUGUAUAUUUUUUAAAUGACUAUCUGUUUAUGUGCUGGUCAUGGGGUUUGCAGCAAAUCACAAGUGUGUAAUUUUUUUUUCUUAAAGGCAUUUAAUCUACUUUCUAAAAAUCACUAGAAUUCAGAAACUGAUACUACUUCUUUUGUUUCAUUAUUUGCCUCCCUGCCCCCAACACUCAUACAUAUUUAGAGACACCCAUGGACACUCAUGAACACACAUAUUCUUCUUUCUAGUCCCUUAUCAAUGGCAAACUAAAGUUAUUUUAGAAUAUACUAGCUGUCAUUGUGCCACAGAGAAACCUCUCUUUCAUGCAAAUUGAUAUAUGUAUAUAAUCAUACAUGUUUAUAUAUAAACUUUGUAGCUUUCCUCCCUCUUUUCUAAAAUAAAUUAUGAAAGGUUGUAUGUUCAGGCUUCACGCAGAAUUUUUCAUUUGAGGGAGACUUUUUCAACCCUUUCUAUUUGAGUUGGUAGCCAUUUAUAUGAAGAGAAAAUGAAUACUAAUGGAAAAUCCUAGAGUGGAUUUGGAAAAUCAUUAUAACAGUUCUGCUAUAGGUUUGGGCCUUUGACAAACCACCUAUUCAAGGAUGAAAAAUCCACUAUUUCUCUUCUGCAUUUCUUUUUCCGAAUACAGCUAGAUUGAAUAACAGGCCAGAUAAAGGAUUCAGAACAAUUGCUUUACUAAGUAAUAGUGAGCCCAUGUUCUAACCAAUGGGACAGAAACUGACCCUCUGUAUCUCUGACACAGUUGCCUUUCAUUGACAGAUUUACAGUGGAGGGGUUGGGAGAGCAGAUGAAUUAAAAAAAAACAAAAGCAAAUCAAGAUCCCCCAUAAAUUUCACGAUCCCCACAUCUUCCACCUCAGCACCUAUUAGAACACCUUACUCUUAAAUUCUGCACAUGUGGAGAUUUAUUUGUAUCCCAGAGGUUUGCUCAGAUGUUUCCUCUGUGCUUUCAAUGCAGGCCCACCCUUUUCUUUCUUCAUAUUAAAACCAUAUAGAUUCUCCUUGAAGCCUUCUCAACUGGUAAUAAUCAUUUACAUCCUUGCUAGUGCUUAUGAUUUUCGAAUUACUUUUAGAUAAUCUAACUCAGCGAUCUCCACACAACCUUAGACACUUAGCCCGGCAAGUAUUGUGCUUUUGCUUUCAUGGAUGAGAAAAAGGAGACUUGGAGUGCUUUGAUUAGCAAACAAGGUUACAGAGCUAAAAAAGGAGUGACACUGGAGUAGAUCCCAGCUUAAAUGAAACCCACUGCUUUACCUGCCCCUAUAGCCUGCAUGAUAUUUCCCUAUUCUGAGUGCUUGGAGCUCUUGGAGUCUCUUACAUCUAAUGUGAUCAUUAAGAGGUACUAACUGUCUGAUUGCUUCUUGUGUGCAGCUAACUCACUGGUGACCCAGCACUUUGGGAGGAUGAGGAGGGUGGAUCACAAGGUCAGGAGUUCGAGACCAGCCUGGCCAACAUGAUGAAACCCCGUCUCUACUAAAAAUACAAAAAUUAGCCAGGCGUGGUGGCAUGCACCUGUAUUCCCAGCUACUUGGGACACUGAGGCAGGAGACUUGCUUGAACCCGGGAGGCAGAGGUUGCAGUGAGCCAAGAUCGUGCCACUGCACUCCAGCCUGGGCGACAGAGUGAGACUCCAUCUCAAAAAUAAGUAAAUGAAUAAAUAAAAAUAAAAUAGAUUGAGCCUCCACAUUUUGCAUGCAGCUUUCUUGGUGCUUGUCCUUCUCCUGUGCUUACUCAAAGAUGGGACAUUGUGCACAAUGAGAAGAGUAUUGGGACCAGUAAGGAAGAAUGAGUCAGAUAUUGUGGGACCUCUUUUUUUGUUGUUUUUUUUUGCUCCCAGAAAUCUUUGAGGUAAGUAACAUAGUCAAUUGAGGUCUGGAGUUAUGUACUCCAUUUAUUCAUUUUUUCUUAACAUAGUCCCUCCUUACUAUGUGAUAUUCUCUGUCCUAGACCUUGAAAAUACAAGUUAAAUAUGGCAUAUUCUUUACCUCUAUGAGCUUAAAAUUGAGUGGGGAAAGUUUCAUUUUUUCUUUGAAAUGAAAACAAACUUAAGUACCGAUAUGCAUGAGAAAAAUAAAUUGUUCAUUUCUUUACCUACAUCUCAUCAGGAGUAAACACAUUCUCUCUCUGGCUAAGCCAAAUAUACCAUAAAUCCCUCCUAAAAAAAUACCCUGAAAUUGAGAAUCCAAUUUUAAUGGCUAAAUUAUAUUUACCUUGAACUGAGCAUUUUCUAUUAGGAUUUACGUAUGCAUCUUGGGGAUUCUGAAUGUUGGACUUUUUUUUCUUUUUUCUUUUAGAUUUUAACCUGAAUGGAAAAGACAAUAUGAGGGUGAUGAAAGACUCUAGAUGGUCCGUCUUGGUUUGGAGAUCUUCCACCAAUAUGCCCAGUGGAUUCUCCCACCAGGGCCAGGUAACCUUCCUCACCAGAGGUGAGCAUCUUGGGAAAAAGUACAUCCUGUCUUUGCCCCCAGAGGUGACUUCAAAGAGCCAUGAGUGAUGAAAGACAGAUACCAACAAAUGAAAUUAGACUCUCUCUGACUAUCCUCAGAUCAGAAACUCUUGAGACAUGCAGCAUUUUGGGAGGACCAAGUAGGAGCCAGACAUGGAGAGAGAAGAGAGAGUGAAAGGAAGUAGCAUCAACAGCAGAACUAACUUAAACCUAAGAAUCAACUGACAAGAGAUUGAGCUGAUUAUUCAUCACCCUCAGGAACCUCAUUUAACCUUUCUGAGCUUCAUUGUAUUAACUUUCAACAGGAAAAGACAAGACGAUACUGUAUGAAAGUCUGACCAACAUAAAGGGUGCUACAAGGAUGCCCCCAAGGCUCAGGAUGUUGGAGAGUUGAGGCACCAUGAGUAACCACAAUGCAGAAUGAAGAAUAGUUCUUCUGGUGUGAGGAUCCACUGGGUUGCCACUGACCCAUUGCCUGAGGGUAUGCGAUGAAACCAGAAUCAGCAACUGUAGAUGGCAGCUCAGAAGGGGAAACGACACAUCUAAUAACCAACAGGAAUGGCUAUUAAUUAGCUGAAAUGACAAUAAUUAACAGAAAUGACAAGUCUAAUAAAUUUUCACUUAAGUGUUGUCACAUGGCACUUUGAGUUUUAGCUUUCCAUUUUAAAUAUUAAUCUCGGUGGGGUUUACUUUAGAUGAAGAGUCAUAUCAAGUAUGACUAUGGAAAUAAUUCUGUACAGACACUCCAUCAAAUUAUGUUUAAUCCAUUUCACUUAUGCUAUGAUCAGUAGAGAGUGUAUUAAAAGCUCACAUUGUCACCCUAAAAAUAUAUUCUUUUUGUGUGUAUCUAAUUUAUGCUGCUCAGAAACAUUCAGCCACAGGGAUCAGAGGGAAGGUGGUUGUUUUUAAUUUUCUUUGAUAUCUUCAAAGAUAGGAAAGUCUCACCCCUCUGCUCUUUCCCCCUCUUCAGCAACAGACAAAGAAGGUUAAAUCUUAUUAGCAUGUCCUAUAUAGCUAGUUGUAACCUAAGUGACCUGUCAUGGCACUAAAUGCCUACUAGAACUUUCUCUGUACUUGCAAGAUGGAAAUUUUAUGCAUCAAUGCUUUUAUGUAUGCAUCUGAUUUGGGAAGUUCACUGCUUUAUGGAUAUGAACAUUGUGAUCAAGUAAAUUGAUCUACAUAAUGGGAUUUUGUGUGUGUGCGUGCAUAUAUCUAUAUGGAUAUGGAUGUAUGCAAGUGUAUUCUAAGAGGAAAUAUAAUACAUGAAAUGUUAACUUUAAUGAUAUGAAAUGCAUUAAAUUCAAACUAUCUUGCAUGUGUAUGCAGAUGCAUUAUGUCUCUAUCAUUGUACUCUGCAGGGAUUUAAGGUAGAAAAAAUUCAUCGUAUUCUCUGAUGUGCCAUGCUAAAUAAGA